GGUGGAUCAGUGGUAGAGCACUUGCCUUGCAUGCAUGAAGCCCUGAGUUCGAUUCCUCAGCACCA
rnacentral:tRNA from 1 species